GGCUUAGAGUUUGAUCAUGGCUCAGGAUAAACGCUGGCGGCGCACAUAAGACAUGCAAGUCGAACGGACUUAACCAUUAGUUUACUAUUGGAGCGGUUAGUGGCGGACUGGUGAGUAACACGUAAGCAACCUGCCUGUUAGAGGGGAGCAACAGUUAGAAAUGACUGCUAAUACCGCAUAUGCCAUAGUGAGGACAUCCUCACAGUGGGAAAGGAACAAUCCGCUAACAGAUGGGCUUGCGUCUGAUUAGAUAGUUGGUGGGGUAACGGCCUACCAAGUCGACGAUCAGUAGCCGGACUGAGAGGUUGAACGGCCACAUUGGGACUGAGAUACGGCCCAGACUCCUACGGGAGGCAGCAGUCGGGAAUAUUGCGCAAUGGAGGAAACUCUGACGCAGUGACGCCGCGUGCAGGAAGAAGGUUUUCGGAUUGUAAACUGCUUUAGACAGGGAAGAAAGAAAUGACAGUACCUGUAGAAUAAGCUCCGGCUAACUACGUGCCAGCAGCCGCGGUAAUACGUAGGGAGCAAGCGUUAUCCGGAUUUAUUGGGUGUAAAGGGUGCGUAGACGGGAAGUCAAGUUAGUUGUGAAAUCCCUCGGCUCAACUGAGGAACUGCAACUAAAACUAACUUUCUUGAGUGCUGGAGAGGAAAGUG
rnacentral:rRNA from 1 species